rnacentral:misc_RNA from 1 species
GGGUUUAAAUACAAGUUUAAGCUUAAAGAACCAAUUCAAUAGAGCAAGCCGAAAAUCAGAGACAUUGAAAAGGAAAUCUUCUAGCCAAGUCCUAAACAUACAAAAGCCCAAAUCCAUAGACUCCAAACCCUAAACUAGCAGGAAGAAAGGCAGCACCCACCAUCGUCACCGCAUUAAGCUCAAUCUUCCAACACAGCAGUAGUGUCUCAAGAAAAUACAACUAAACCCUACCCCAUCCUCCGUGAAUUGUAGAAUGGGUUAAAAGGCAAAGUAUAAACGACUUUUUCUUCGUCUUGAAGAGUUGACGGACCAAAGGAACAGACCGGCUAUAGGACUCUUGAGAUACCCUUACGACAACAACAAGCACUCUCUCGCAAGACAAGACUAAGCAACUAAGCACGCGAACUUCGAGAAUUCUUUGAUCCGACAGAAACACAUGUAAGUCUUUUAUAGGCCCUUUCACUGCGAAGCCUCAUGAUCUGCAAACCAAAGACCAAAGUAAAAGGUUAUUUACAUCCCAAUUUGGGAUGGGAGGGAGAACUUACAAUUGGACCAAAGAAAAAGAGUCUUCCCCUACCCGAAAAGGGGUAGGAAAAGCCUAUGAAAGGCCAGUCACUUGGCAAGCCCGAGAAAGAACCAAAGUAAAGGCGAAGCAAAAAGAAAGAGAGAAAAUUCUCUCUAGAAAACCAGAGAUAGAUCACUUCCAAGACUACAACUAAGAAUGCAGAGAAGUGAUUACAUAAUAUCUCGUGUUAUCUCAUCUUAUUAUACUUGAGUGAUUAAAUUCAUUAAUGCCGUUAAGUUUUUGUAUGUGAUUUGUUUGUGGCAUUUUCUUAUUAUUAUUUUUUUUUAUUCAAUGAUUGAGAUACAUGUCAAGAUUAAUUUCUUUUUUUAUUUGUAAUUAAAAAAUCCAAGUUAUAUCCAAAAAAUCUCGCAUUCUUCUUUGAACGGUUGAACUGAUAAUCAUCUCACUCCAAGAAACUGCAUUCCUCUCUGGCAUGUAAUCAAACAUUUCCCUUGCAUCCCUUAUCUCCCCACUUUGAGUACAUGUCAGCCAUAGAACUCUACCCCAAACAUGUCAAAAUCAAAUUUUAAUAACCACGUACAGAUUUUCCAAUAUCACUACCCAAAAUCACUCAAGCUUUAGAAAUACCAAGGACCAUAUUUUCAGGUACUAAAAAACCUUGAAGGAGCAAAAUUAGAACUCUGGAAAAUAGAAUUGAAUAAGUGGAAGAGGGGAAGACAUGAAGUUAACCACCAAGUCUCAAGAUAUUCAAAGUAGUAUGAAAAAAAAAAGGGGAGGAACAUUCAAACUUCCUAUUCAUUUUCUCUUUAAUAAUGGUUUUGACUUAAACAAAGCAAGAUAUGAGAAGCAAACGAACUGAGGUCAUGAACACUUGAAGUUGGUUAAGUUCCAUCUUCAAAGUGGAGGAACAAGCAGUAGCGUCCGAUCCAAGGACUUGGGCAUCAGCUUCAAUUGCAACAUUCGGCCUUAAUGACAGAAAACAGAUAGAUUAUCCGAGAGAUUGCUUGCUCUAACACAUGAUGCUGUCUAUCUAAUCUUUGUUAUUUCAAAGGAAAAGUGGAGAUUAUAGGGUUUUAAUGUUUUGAGUGGUACACUGUCAACAAAACGCUGUGUCAGAAGUCAAAAAUUCAGAUGAAAGAACAUUACCAAGAACUAGAUAGCUGGUUGCUUCAAUGCAGUCCAAAUUGUCAUGCAGGCAAUGUUCCUAUCUACAUGUACUGCUGCGCAACAUCAUACAUCAACCCGGCAGCUGUGAAUAUUUUAAAUUCAUAUUAGAGAUCGUGCCUAUAAAUCAAUUCCAUCAGGUACUCAAAACUGCUUCCGAAAGCCAACAAUUAGGAGUCCCCAUUGUGCUUACUAAUUCCAAACUAACCACAGCGCAAUAAAUUCCAAUCUGGCUUUUCCGUUAAUCACUGAUAACUGGGAGGAUUUAUGCCAAGAAUACAAAUGCUGCUUUCAAAGUAAGGCUUUGCCGAGGCAUUGCCUAUCACCCCAACGGAAUGCACCAUAGUUAUGAAACUACUAACAGUAUUGCAAUUACGAUAUGUCAUAAGCAAUUUCGCGAUAGAACUGCAAUGCCUAUCUGGGAUUCACAAGGCACCUUCCAACCUGUUUAUUCUCAUUCCAGGAAAGCCUUGUACAUAUAUAUUUGCCAUUCUUUGAUAUAGACCGGGAAAGAAGCACCAUCAUCAAUCCAAAAGGAACAAGUGCAAUGCAUUUCAACUUUCAAGACCAAAACAUGCAACUGAAAAACCAGUUAUGUGCCAUGUUAACCUGAAGCACAGAAGUCCAUCUCCAUUCUGAAACAUGCAGAGGAUCAUUAACUCCAUUCCUCUUUUUAAACUUUUGAAUCAGCAAUCAUUGCUAACUCAAAGUUGGGAUGACAAUAGCAAUCACUAGAUGGUAACUCUUCCCUUAAGUUGCUACGCAUGAAACUCGAUGGAAAAUAUCUGUGUAAUUGUGCGAGGAAUCCCAUCAAAAGAAGCACUACUCAUGUGGUGAAAUAUGCAAAUGUCCUCCAUAAUGAUCUCCAACAGACGACUGAAGAUAUGGAAAGACAAUAUUAUAUACUUGCAAGAAGAAUUUUGACUUUUUUGUAAACCUUCUAAGAAGACGAAAACAUAAAUAAAUCUCUUCUACGUCAAAUUCUAUCUUUAUUUCAAUAUACUGUUUGAGAAGUUCACACAAGUAAUGACUAGCUUCAUCACCCCAACUAUCAUCACUUUCAUCCAGAAUAUAUAGACAGUCAGAAAUUGCACGCUGCAGUAUAGAAGAUAAAUUUCCAGUUGAACCCAAUUUGUAAUACAUCUCAGCCAAAGUUCUUAGUAUCAAGCGAUUGCUAACUUUGAACUUAUCAACCCACUGUGGAGGAUUUCCACUCCAAAGAUCACUGUUCAGAAUGGAGUUAACAGAUAUGGAUUGAUUCUCAGCAAUCUUUAAUGGUUCCUGGGCAUUUUCUGUAACAGGGACAAAGGAUGAAGUUGAAAUUACUUCUCGUCUCCUGUGUGCAGGAAGCAGUUCAAGAAUAUCAGCUCUCAAUUCUUCAGGCAAUUGCUGCAACACUGAGGUAUCAACCUGGCUUAGAGAUGAGGGCAUUAAGUCAAUGUUUACAAGGCCUGCAGUUUGAAAGGCCUCAUUAUUGGAUCCAGCACCAGAAACAGGUGGUGCUGAUGGUGAUUGCUCAGAUAUAUGUUGCUUUGCCGUGUGUUCCACCAUUAUCAUGUUUAGGGGAAAAAUAUUAGAUGCAAGAGGUCCCUCACCACAACCUGUUGUCCCUAAGAAAACAAGGCCAUGACGUCACUAGAAGAACAAUAUUGCAACAGCUAUAUGGUAAGAAAAGUUACCUUGUUCUCGUUCAUGAUAUAGGAUGCAUGAAGAACCACUGCUAUCUUCCCUUUUGCCUUUACUUUGAGCGAUACAUUCUACUAACUUCCCCCCAUAAAUUUCAUUUAGUUCUGAAAAGAGUUCCGAAGGAAGACUCUCAAUAACUCCCAUAUCAAGAUCAUAAAGGGAAGGUGGCACUAUAUUAGUUCUCUCAUUAUAUAUGUUAUUGAUGCUAUCCUGUCCUCUUGUUGCUGUCGAGGCGGAGGUGAGCCAUGAUCUUAAAGAAUUUCUUUCAAGUCCUUGCUUAGAAAUGUCUACAUUUUCAAGCUUGGAAACUUGCAAGCCUACACCACGAAUGUCCUUGACAUCUAUGUGGAAAGACCCAAAGAGUUGAUUUGCUAUCCUUUGAAGCACUUCGACAUCAUCAGUAGCAACAGGAACCGUCAUUGAGUGGCUCAGAUUCUCACAAUCCCCACAACCCAUAUACUUCGUAGGCUCCAAAGCAUCUUUUCUUCUCUUUUUUAUCUUAAGGGUAAAGGUCCGCCCUUGCACUCCACAUCCCUGCAAGCGUAACGAAACCUCCUUGCAAAGGUUUAAGAGGAAAUUCCGGCUAUCUUGCAUAUCCUUAAACCUCACACCCCAAUUUACUUCAGCACCAACAGACUUACUUUCCUGAAUAACUCCAACUAGACGAUUAUCAAUUCCUCUGCUAUAAUUCCAGAGCAUUUCUCCAGUUUUCAAACCAAAAUCCUUUUGAAGAGAGUCCUUAGAAAUCAGGCGCAAUUGUCCACAAGUUGAAAUAUUUUGCUUCUUCAACUUCCCCUCUAAAAUAUACCCUAUUCCUGGAAGUGCCUUAAUUGGAAGUUCAUGUAAAUACUCAUCCACCCUUUCAGGAGGGAUGUAGUAUUGACCAUCAGGUUUUGCAGUUCUAGUAGCUAGGCGAGCCAUGAGCAUAUUCCCAGCUAUUCCAGCACUAGCUUUGCAUCCUGUAGUCUCAAAAAUUUCUUUUCUUAUUGUUGAAGCUAAAACCUCAGGAUCUAUUUCUCCCAAAUCUGUGAUAUCUAAAAAUGCUUCAUCACAGCUUACUGCCUGCACUUUGUUGCAGUGCUUGUGUAAGACAUUAUAAAACUGAUCAGCUACCUCUUCAUAAGCUUGAAAGUUGUAUGGAAAAAUGAUAAGAUGUGGACAAAUAGCUUUGGCAUCUCUAACAAAAAUUCCAGCCUUAACUCCAUAUUCUCGGGCAGGGUAGUUUGCAGAGGAAAUUUCAGCAGUUCCUUUUGGGUUGUUUGAAUGGCACACAGCUACAGGCUUAUCUUGUAACUCAGGACAGUUCCUGAUGACAACCGAGACAAAAAAGCAGUCCAUGUCAACAUGGAUGAUAGUAGUUUUCUGGGAAUUAUCAGAAGCAUUGACAGUAGAAGCGCUUCUACACCUAAACUCAUUAGAUAAGGGGUAAAAACGCUUGCGGUACCGAUUUCUCCAGGUUCCUAUAAAGUGCAAUCUUGAGCUCUUAAAGUAAUUAUCCACAAAAUUGGGAUCCUCAAGAGUUGAAUGAUGUGGAUUAGAAGGCCCAGCAAUUGACGGAGUUGGUGAUUUUCUCACAUUUUGAUUAUCUAAACAGUCACUUCUGACUGACACAGACAAUGGACAGGAUCUAGAGCGAAUUUCAUUGUUUACACUGCUUUCAUCUUCCGUAUCAGUUGGUUCUACCAUCCUCACUUCAGAAGAUUUUCCACUACUGCUACUUGGCUCCUCAAUCUUACAAUCAUGAUCCCCAAAUUGUCCAUCAAUUUGCUCUCCUCCUUUCACAGGAUCACCCACAACAAAUAAGCCUGCAUCCUGUGAUGUGCCACCUUUCAAAGAUGGGUCCAUAACAUUCAAAGCAUCCUCAGCAACUGGUCUGUUUUUAACAGCAAAGAAAGCUGACAACUUUGGUUGGUUAUCAGCAAGCUGCUCAAGUUGGUAAGGAACCCAACUCAAAAGUUUGCUAGCAACAACAGAAUCUAAAAUCCACGCAGGUUUAACUACUGGCAGCCCACCACUGAAAGACCUCAGGUUCUUUAUUUUGCCAUGAGGAAGGUUGCAGCAGAUGAUAUGUGUAACACGAUGCCUGGAAAAGUAAUUCUCAAAUCGCCCCCCAUACUUCAACAUGUAGCCACGCAGUUCCUGUCUAGAAGGAAUUGUGAAACCAUCAACAAAUAUGGAAACCCCAUCAAAUAUCGGCUUCUCAGAACUGGAACCACCAUGAGAAGAAUUUGAAGCCUCCUCAUUGAACUGGUUUUGAAGUUUCCUGUUCUUCUCCACCAUAUAACUGCCAAAAUCAGAGAAAGGAGAAGUGCGGAAGGAGGAACGAGAGGAGGAGAGGGAAUUGGCGCCCCAGGCCAUCCCUAGGGUUUUCUGAUUGGAGAUUUUGCUCUUCUUGUUACUGCUAUUGCUAUUAUUUGAAUAAUUGGAACUGUUGAGGCUUCUCUUUGAUCUUUGGCCUGAAUUAGCCGAGCGAGAGGAUUCACGACUCAUUUUCAGAAAGAGUGCCAAGGAAGGAAGAUUGCGUAUCAGCU